ensembl:lncRNA
GUGAGCACAUGUAGAGAAAGAAACCUGACCGGACUGAGAGCUAAGAGGAGGCAUCGUAGUGUGGGAAGCAGUUAAGUUUUAUCGUGAGGUCGACUACUCGUGGUCCUGAUUUAAACUUCUUUGUGACCUGCAAAAAGGAGCUGGACGUUGGAGAGAGGGGUUUCCAGCAGAUGGCCCUGCUGUUUUCUGUGUUUUCUUCCUUGUGACUUCGCCACCGCCAUUGCCCACGUGUGUGUUUGGAUUGCCACCGCCAUUGCCAUUAUCUUCGUGAGAAUAUCAUCCCCCAAUCCCUUUCUGCCCCUACUAAUUACACCCUGGAUUCGAGCUGGACGUUGGAGAGAGGGGUUUCCAGCAGAUGGCCCUGCUGUUUUCUGUGUUUUCUUCCUUGUGACUUCGCCACCGCCAUUGCCCACGUGUGUGUUUGGAUUGCCACCGCCAUUGCCAUUAUCUUCGUGAGAAUAUCAUCCCCCAAUCCCUUUCUGCCCCUACUAAUUACACCCUGGAUUCGUGAGUACUGAUUUACACAUUGCACGUGCUUUUAUUUUGAGCUCAAGCUGAGUGAAGCGGCCAGUACAGUUUUUAGGCCCCACCGCACACAAGCUUCAACUAACAGGCCUGCAACGGGUUAACCUAAUUUAAAGUGUGUUGUUAAUUUGAUUGUGUGUGGUACAUUGAGUUUGCAUUGUUGUAAAUUGGAGAAUCCCGUGCAUCUGAUUUUAUUUAUUUUAUUUGUUUAUUUGUUUUCUUUUCCUAAAAUACAUUCG